rnacentral:rRNA from 1 species
CCUACGGGCGGCAGCAGUGAGGAAUAAUGGUCAAUGGCCGGAAGGCUGAACCAGCCAUGCCGCGUGAAGGUCAGUGCCCUAUGGGCGUUAAACUUCUUUUGUGCGGGAGCAAUAAUGGUCACGUGUGGCCAGACGAGAGUACCGUACGAAUAAGCAUCGGCUAACUCCGUGCCAGCAGCCGCGGUAAUACGGGGGAUGCAAGCGUUAUCCGGAUUUAUUGGGUUUAAAGGGUGCGUAGGCUGUGAGGUAAGUCAGCGGUGAAAUGCCCCCGCUCAACGGGGUGAAGUGCCAUUGAUACUGCCUGGCUGGAAUGCGGAUGCCGUGGGAGGAAUGUGUGGUGUAGCGGUGAAAUGCAUAGAUAUCACACAGAACACCGAUUGCGAAGGCAUCUCACGAAUCCGCGAUUGACGCUGAUGCACGAAAGCGUGGGUAUCAAACAGGAUUAGAUACCCGAGUAGUC